UGAAGAAAUUGACAAACAAUCCUAGAAUCUUUCUGACUCUCGUGUCUCUCAGUCCCUCAGCUCAGCUUUCCCUGUAUCUGCUCUGCAGAUGAAAACCCUCUAGUGGUGGAAGAGAGAAAUCCUCUUCCUCCAGGGGAAGUGAGACAGCCCUCAUGACUGCUUUCCUUCCUGGGGUUUUGUGCCUCUGAUUCAGCUUCCCUUUGCUCCCGGGGACACAGAUUGACCCCAUCCUGCACAGAGACCCUGCUCAGCUGUCUCAGGAAAGCCUGCCUCGGGGGCUUGGUGGAGAAGGAUCUUAUGCAGCCCGCUGUGCCUUUGUUGACGUGACUUUUUGCUCAACCAGUGGUCUUCAAUUCUCAGCAAGCCACUGAGCAGCAGGCAGAUCCCAGAGAAGGCCCUGCCCUGACCCCACAGAUGCAGGCACACAUACCCAAGCCACAGGCCCACCUAGAAAAGAGCUGCACAGACACACGCGCUUCAUGCAGAGGCCCACCAUACUAUCGGAAUUUAUCUCCCUGA
rnacentral:lncRNA from 1 species